rnacentral:rRNA from 1 species
UAAGAAUCUUCCGCAAUGGACGAAAGUCUGACGGAGCGACGCCGUGUGAAUGAAGAAGGCCGAAAGGUUGUAAAAUUCUUUUGCAGAUGAAGAAUAAGAAGAAGAGGGAAUGCUUCUUUGAUGACGGUAGUCAUGCGAAUAAGCCCCGGCUAAUUACGUGCCAGCAGCCGCGGUAACACGUAAGGGGCGAGCGUUGUUCGGAAUUAUUGGGCGUAAAGGGUAUGUAGGCGGUUAGGUAAGCCUGGUGUGAAAUCUACGAGCUCAACUCGUAAACUGCAUUGGGUACUGCUUGACUUGAAUCACGGAGGGGAAACCGGAAUUCCAAGUGUAGGGGUGGAAUCUGUAGAUAUUUGGAAGAACACCGGUGGCGAAGGCGGGUUUCUGGCCGAUGAUUGACGCUGAUAUACGAAGGUGCGGGGAGCAAACAGGAUUAGAUACCCUGGUAGUCCGCACAGUAAACGAUGUACACUAGGUGUCGGGGCAAGAGCUUCGGUGCCGACGCAAACGCAUUAAGUGUACCGCCUGGGAAGUAUGCCCGCAAGGGUG